GCGAUUGUGGCGAAGUGGUUAACGCACCGGCUUGUGGCGCCGGCACUCGUGGGUUCGAUUCCCAUCAGUCGCC
rnacentral:tRNA from 2 species